rnacentral:misc_RNA from 1 species
UAUAGAGCAAUAAGAUGACGGUGCUAAUAGUAAUAGGAUUAAAUGCUUCUAAAAUCGCAUGAUUUUGUUUUUUGUUUCUCUGGAAAUCAUAGUUCUACUCGCUUGCUCGGGUUUUCCUAGGAAUUGCAACAUUGUUGAAAUCCUAACAGGGAUGUGAAUUUAGCAUCAUUAAUAUCAAGGUUGCAUGAUUGUUGAUGUAGUUUGAAAGGGUUCACAUGUUUACCUUGUGGAAUACUGUUUUACUGUUUAUGAUUGAGAGCACGGAGAUGAUAUUCAGUUAUGGCUGAUUCUGAUUGUUGAGAUAAUAAUGAGAUUAUGGAAAACUGGGUGUUAAUUGCUAUUUGCUGUUUUGCACUAGCUUUCUUCCUAUAGAUUCAUGUUCUUCUCUCUCUCUACAGAAAAUGAUGCUCUUUUUUCAGGAAAUUUCUUAAUAUCCUGACCUUAUUACAUAUUAAUGUUAGGCCAAUUCAAAGUUAUUUUGGUGGAAAACUUCAUUCAACCAUUUCAAUGACGAGGAAGUAAAAUGGAUGCUGUUAUGAUGUUGUUCUUUGGUUUCUUGCAAUAUGUAAUAAUUAGUUUUUAAGAAAAAGAAAAUGCAACUCUUUCUGAAUUGA